UACGGGGGGAGCAAGCGUUGUUCGGAUUUACUGGGCGUAAAGGGCGCGUAGGCGGUCGUGACAAGUCACUUGUGAAAUCUCCGGGCUUAACUCGGAACGGUCAAGUGAUACUGUCGGACUAGAGUACAGAAGGGGCAACUGGAAUUCUCGGUGUAGCGGUGAAAUGCGCAGAUAUCAGGAGGAACACCGGUGGCGAAGGCGGGUCUCUGGGCCGAAACUGACGCUGAGGUGCGAAAGCGUGGGGAGCAAACAGG
rnacentral:rRNA from 1 species